GAGAGGUCGGCGGGCGGAGCGGCGCUGAUGGCGAUGAUGGCGGCCGGGACGGGCAAGUCUCGCCGGCGGCACGCAGGAAACAAGCAUUCAGCUGCUCAGAAAAAUGAAGAUGCUGCUCAAAGGAAAGCAGCUCUGGAGGCUGCACUGAGAAACAAGAUUGAAUGUGAGAAAAAAGCAUUGUCAAUUGUUGAGCAGCUCCUGGAAGAGGACAUUACUGAAGAGUUCCUUCUAAAUUGUGGAAAAAGUAUUACUCCAUCUCACUACAAAGACGUUGUUGAUGAGCGAUCUAUCAUCAAACUGUGUGGUUAUCCUCUAUGUCAGAAGAGACUGGAAAAUGUGCCAAAGCAGAAGUACAGAAUUUCAACAAAAACGAACAGAGUUUAUGAUAUCACUGAAAGAAAGUGCUUUUGCAGCAACUUUUGCUAUAGAGCAUCUAAAUAUUUUGAAGCUCAAAUUUCCAAAAGUCCAGUGUGGAUGAGAGAAGAAGAAAAACCACCAGACAUAGAGCUGCUGAAGGAGGGACGGAGUGGACGGUCUGGAGAAGAGGUGAAACUCCGUGAUGAAGUAAUUAAAGCAUCUGACAUUGAAAAUCCUAGGAUAUCUUCAGAUCCAUGUGAAUCUGGUUCUCAUGACACAGCCAGUGACAGCAGUACUGAUACUGAACAAGGAUUUAUUUCUUCUGUCCUACCAGGAAGUCAGUCAACUUCAGCCAGUUUUACACAGCAAUUGCACAGAAAAAGCAUCCUCAAAAAGAAGCAUGCUCAGGAAGUCCAUACCAGCCCUAAAACUGAAGAUGCAGAUGUAGUAGAAGCCACUGAACAGCUAUCUCAUUGUAAAUUAGACACUCAGGAAGAAAGACAUGCUUUCUCUGUUCAUAAUGAAGUAACUGCACCACCUUCAGACAAUACUGCUCCUGGGACAUCAAGUGCUUCAGAAAUCUUUGAAAAUACAUGUGGAUCACAGAUAGUUUUUCUAGGUGUGAGCAGAAGAGGAGCAGAACAUCUUAAAAGAACACUAGCUAAGUCAACAGAACAUAAAAACCCUGAACUGAGGCAUGCAGUUAAUUCCAAAGGCAGUUUACUAGAAGUGCUUAGGCAAACACUUAUGGAAUGGAGAACUGAGGAAACUUUAAAAUUUCUCUAUGGCCCAAACUAUACUUCUUUGUGCUCAUCAGAAUGCAUAGCAUCUGUCAACCAGGAGACUGAAGAACUUGAUGAGGAUGACUUAGAUACACCUGAUGAUCUCAACACUGUUGGUGUAGGGGAGUCUGAAAACAGUUUGAACUACUCUUUACCUUUCACAAGCUCAGGUGGAAUAGUUAAGCCUGUGCCUAGUUAUGAAAGGUUAAAAGAAGAAACAGAGUUCCUAGAACUCCGAGUAAAAGAGUUCUAUAAAGGAAGGUGCAUCUUGGCUGAAGAGGCAGCGACACAAGCACAAGCAGGGGAACAUCCAAGCAAAGACAAAGAUGAUCAACAGGAAGAUCUCACCUUCCCACUUGUUGAUUCAAAUGCACAAAUGCAGAUUAGGAAGCGAAUCGUCCUUGAAAAACUGAGAAAAGCAUUAUCUGCAGUUUUGGGCCCUCUUCAGAUUGCUUCAGGUGAUGUUUACACAGAGCUAAAAAAUCUUGUCAAAACUUUCCGGUUAACAAACAGAAAUAUUAUUCACAAAAUGCCUGAAUGGACUCUCAUUGCUAUUGUUUUGUUAUCUGUAUUGUCACAAACAAGUCCACUUUUCAAGAAUACUCAGACAAGCCCAAUGUACACACAGUUCCUGACCACAUUACUGGAAGAACUGCAUUUCAGAAAUGAAGAUCUGGAAAGUUUAACAAGAAUAUUUAGUAUGGACUGACAACUUGAAUGGUCAGUCAACUUUAAGCUACUUUGUGUGUCUUAAAACCAAGCUGGUUAACCACGGGUUUAAUUUUCAGCACUUUGUAAGUAUGUACAGUAACUACAGAUUGUAUCAGCUGGAGCAGAAAAUGUGUGAAGCACAUUUUAAAGUAAAGAAAUAUAUAUGGUAUGGAAAUUAGUGUCAUCAUUUUAUCACUUACAGUAAAUGCCAGUUGCUUACUUAUCACACUUAUCUUUUGAUAAAGUAUGAUUGGUUUACUGCAAUUUUGAGGAAUUUUUGCUACCACAGUUUAUUAAAAAAAAAAAAUGUGUGGCUACAAUGGCUAAGACUAAGCAGGGUUCUUUUAAUUAUUACAAUGAAAUUGUUAUGUUCCAUUUUUGUGGUAUAAAAUUGACUUAAAGGCCAUGUAUUUUUUUGCGUAAGGUUGAGAUUACAGUUUUCAUUCCAGGCAGGCCAAAAAAUUUAAGAGCAAAUACCUUAUGUUGAUCAUACCAAACUGAUUCAAUGAAUUUAGCAUUAUAGUAUCAUUACUGAUCUCACUCCUUUGUUCCCCACAGAAUAACAUGAUCAUUUUAGCUGAAAUAGUUGCACAGAGAACAAAAGAACACCUUCAGUUGUUUGAGAUUUUUAAAAUGAAAAAUGAAAUUUAGUAUGAACUGUAGUACUUGCAUUUCUGCUUUUUCAUUUCCUUCCUAUGGGUAAGAAUUUUGCAGUCUUGUGAAGAAGCUGACUAACCGCAGUUGUUCAAGUUUCAGAUUGAAGACAUCAUCUCAAAGCACGUGAUCCAUUAAAAAUACUUUGCUAAGAUGGUGCAAGCAAAGUUGUAUUGGUGUAAUAUCUUUACCUGCAUAGCCAGAAAAGAGAGGGUGAAUUCAUACCAGUAUAGGAGAGAAAGAUUAAAAGUUCAUCUCUAUCUGAUAACCUUGAAUACAAGAUAGAUGACGCCUGAAGCAAAGCUGAUAAAGUCACCAGUGCUAAGAAGCACAAGAGAGAGGGGAAUGGAAGCACAACAGCAUAGAUACAUAUCUUCACAUCCUUAUUUCCUUUACAAAUGGAGGAAGGAAGUUCCCUGCAGGUGUUGGCCCACUUCGUAAUCAGAACCUACCCUUCACACUUGGUGUUUUGAGGCUGUGGAAGGAGGAGGACUCUGGAGGUUGCCUGACUGCUCUCACCUGUGUCUCCUGGAUGCAAGGAACCAAAGCUUAAUCCCAGUGUCCAAGAGCAAUGAAAGGGCAGCAGAGGUACCAAACUGAUAUCUGUCACCAACAUGGCAGGAGUCAAAAGACCUCUGGUCUAUGUGCCAGUCCCAAGUCAGUAGCUGAAGCUGGCUGCACAGCAAUUCCCUGGUAAGUAGCUGAGCCACUGCUUUGCUCAAGUAAACCCAGUGAUGUUAUCCAGACACCACUCACAGGCAUGCAGGUACAACAAGCAUGAGGUAGAGGCAAUUGGCAGGAAAGGAAAAGUCCAUACUCCCUUGUUUGCCCAGGUAUAGGUCUCAUUUCCUUGUCACACACCUUGAGGUGAAGAGACAAAAAUGCCCAUCUCAGAAGAGCAGCUUGAGAGGGAUGAACUCUUUCAGAUGCUUUUAGUCCUCUUGGGGAAAAGCAAUUUUGCAGGUACCCAGCAAACAGAAGUGUGGAGUAGGGAAGAUGUCCCACCCAAGGUGCCAUG